AAUGUCGUUCCAUCCGGAGCGAUUCAGAGCAUUCCGGUUGUCUGCUGGUUUUGUCCAUUGUGGAUUUUAUUUCCAUCUUGGGACUUUGUAACACGGAAGCACUUUCCGGGAAAGAAAACGGGGGAAAAGGCUCGCUUGCCUUCUCUGUUUUUGUCUUUCUCUCUCUGCAUCUUCUUUGUGUCUGUGCCUCUCUCUCUCUCUCUCUCUCUCUCUCCGGGCCCCCCCUGCUGGAUGCGGUCGAUUGGCAGUGUGGUGUGGCUGCACACACUGACUGGUACCACCACUUGCAGUGAAAGCAGACAGGCUGGUAUUGCCUGGACUGCCAGAGCUCAGCGUGAGGGGGUUAUCACUGCUGUAAUCGUUUGUGUUUCCCACUGUGACGGAUUCUUCUCUGAUCCAGCUUAGCUUCGGCAGACCAGACAACAGACAACGACACCCAGUU